CUCUUACUCCCGCGUGUCCGCGGUUUUUUCUCUGUGGUGAGGCAGACUGUUAUUAUACCAGCACCCCGGCAGCACGAGGCUGCGGCAACACAAGUCGCGUGCUGUUCUUGUUUAAAGGGUAAAAGGACGUAGAUAAAAACGGACGGCUAGCUGUUAUAUCCGCUCUCCUCCAUACGGAAUACGCUACUGGGUCCACCGACAGCAUCCCUUCCAUCUUUGCUGUCCCCUUGUCAUCAGUCCCUUGUUCCAUCACCCACUGUCUCCCUCCAUCUGUUCCGUCGGUCUGUAAUGCGGGACUGAGGCAGCGGCUGGGGUUCUGUGUCCAGUCUGAAGCUGGGGAAGCUAAAGGUGGUGCGGCGGCAGCUGCUGCAGAGGUAAACACAUUCUUUCCAGUUUCACAUUUUAACUGUCAUUAUGAACCCGGUACACAAGGUGUGUUCAUCAGCUGGCACAGCGGCAUUGUUAUAUUACUGGGCUAGUUGUCGUUAAAAGGUAUUUUAAUAUUUUUAUGGUACUGGGCUAGUUGUCGUUAACAGGUACUGUAAUAUUUUAUGGUACUGGGCUAGUUGUCGUUAACAGGUACUGUAAUAUUUUUAUGGUACUGGGCUAGUUGUCGUUAAUAGAUGAAGUGGCUUUGUUAUCAGUCACAUUUAUUUUAUAAAGCCCGUUUUUACAUCCGCAGUUGCUUUUACAGAUACCCAAUAACCCUAAAGAGCAAGCGACCACAAUAAUUGAUUUAGUACAAAGCUAGUUAUCAUGAACAAGUAAAGUGGAAUUGUUAUAGUACUAGGCUGGACUAUGGUGGAGAUACAUAGAAAUGGUUUUGUAAAUGUUUGAAAAUGAUAUGCAUCAACAACUGUUUUGAGAGGUUUUUGGGAAUUUGUUUUUAUCUUGGCCUGGUGUGGCUUUGGAACUUUAAUCUGAUAGUACGGGCUAAAGUUAUUUAGAUUUAUAUUGGGAAGGGUUGGCCCAAAUCAGGCCUGAUUGUUUACCAGAGUAUUAGAAA
ensembl:lncRNA